CGCCUUUACACGGCUAAACUGCGAAUGGCUCAUUAAAUCAGUUAUGGUUCCUUAGAUCGUACAAUCCUACUUGGAUAACUGUGGCAAUUCUAGAGCUAAUACAUGCAACACAGCUCCGACCCUUGCGGGGAAGAGCGCUUUUGUUAGCCCAAAACCAACGCGGCGGUCGUUCACGCGGCCGUCGCUCCACUAUGGUGACUCUGAACAACUUUGUGCCGAUCGCACGGCCUUUGCGCCGGCGACGAAUCUUUCAAGUGUCUGCCCUAUCAACUUUCGAUGGUACGUGCUAUGCCUACCAUGGUGAUAACGGGUAAC
rnacentral:rRNA from 1 species